UUUCCGGUUGAUCCUGCCGGAGGCUACCGCUAUUGGAGUUCGAUUAAGCCAUGCGAGUCGCGAGUCUUAGGGACUCGGCGUACCGCUCAGUAACACGUGGGUAACCUGCCCUAUGCUGGGGGAUAACCUCGGGAAACUGAGAAUAAUACCCCAUAGUUCACCACGCCUGGAACGGUGGGUGGACCAAAGCUCCGGCGGCAUAGGAUGGGCCUGCGGCGUAUCAGGUUGUAGGGGGUGUAAUGUACCCUCUAGCCCUCUACGCGUACGGGUGUUGAGAGACAUCGCCCGGAGAUGGAUUCUGAGACACGAAUCCAGACCCUACGGGGUGCAGCAGGCGCGAAAACUUGGCAAUGCGAGAAAUCGUGACCAGGGAACUCCAAGUGCAUCGGGUAAGACCGAUGCUUUUCUUGACUCUUCAAAGGUCUUGGAAUAAGGGGUGGGUAAGGACGGUGCCAGCCGCCGCGGUAAUACCGGCGCCCCAAGUGGUAGUCGCUUUUAUUGGGCCUAAAACGUCCGUAGCCGGUCUGGUACAUUCGUGGGUAAAUCAACCAGCUCAACUGGUUGAAUUCUGCGAGCACGGCCAGACUUGGGACCGGGAGAGGUGUGGGGUACUCUCAGGGUAGGGGUAAAAUCCUGUCAUCCUGAGAGGACCACCUGUUGCGAAGGCGCCACACUAGAACGGAUCCGACGGUCAGGGACGAAGCCUAGGGGCACGAACCGGAUUAGAUACCCGGGUAGUCCUAGGUGUAAACGCUGUGGACUUGAUGUUGGGGGCGCUCCGAGCGCACUCAGUGUCGAGGCGAAGGUGAUAAGUCCACUGCCUGGGGAGUACGGUCGCAAGGCUGAAACUUAAAGGAAUUGGCGGGGGAGCACCGCAACCUGAGGAUUGUGCGGUUUAAUUGGAUUCAACGCCGGG
rnacentral:rRNA from 1 species